GGUGCUGUCGCUUCCCACAGGCACCUGGUUGAUGUGAAAGUCUCUCAUGUGUGAGGUACUGACUCUUCUGUAACCAGGGGACUCUUCUUUGGUGCCAAGGAUAGCAUUUCAUGAGGACCCCUCCUUUGUGACCAGGCUGGCAUAAAUGAGGUCUGUUUAAGGGUCAACUGUUGCUCCUAUCAAUACUGAAAGCAAGGAAGAAGGACAACAUUGCAUCAGAACAGUGCAGAUUUCUCUCCAGUUGUGGCUGUGGUGGUCUCAAAUUGGUAGAAGAUCUUCACAUUCAACAGGUCUGCAUUCAGCAACCAUCAUCCUCCCCCAGCCCAUGUAUUCCUCUACUCUAUCUGUAUCAUCGACAGAGGUUGUGUGCUUAGA